rnacentral:rRNA from 1 species
UACGAAGGGGGCUAGCGUUGUUCGGAAUUACUGGGCGUAAAGCGCGCGCAGGCGGUCCUUCAAGUCAGAGGUGAAAGCCCAGAGCUCAACUCUGGAACGGCCUUUGAGACUAGAGGACUUGGGUACGGGAGAGGUGAGUGGAAUUCCGAGUGUAGAGGUGAAAUUCGUAGAUAUUCGGAAGAACACCAGUGGCGAAGGCGGCUCACUGGCCCGUUACCGACGCUCAGGCGCGACAGCGUGGGGAGCAAAUAGG